AAUACGUUCCCGGGCCUUGUACACACCGCCCGUCAAGCCAUGGAAGCUGGGGGUACCUGAAGUCGGUGACCGUAAUGGGAGCUGCCUAGGGUAAAACUGGUAACUAGGGCU
rnacentral:rRNA from 1 species